UACUUAUUUAACAGUUGACAAGAUAGUUUUGUUCGCCAUAUUGUAGUAGAUAAAACACUCUUAUAUUUGUGAUCUACAAUGGUUUAGUUAGGAGAAUGCAUGACUACUGGUAUAGAAUAGAAUACAAGAUAGAAAACAAGACUAAAUAGAAAGCAAGACUAACUAGGAAAUAGGAAAUAACACAUUCACCUUCCUUUGUUAAAUUAAGAAACUAUGAUUGUAUCAAGUUAACUAUAUUUUAUGGUAGGCAAGUUGGCAUACCUGCAAGACUUAUAAGUAAAGAAAAUAAAAAUGCCUUGAACAAUAUAUGAUUAAAUGAACAAAGAAUAAAAAAUGCAUUAUCUGAAAAUCAAUUAGAAUGUAGAAUGAAGAUUAAUUAUCAGUCUGGAAGUGGGUUUAGUUGUUCCUCUCCUGUCUUAAUUCCUAAAGAUACAAUUAAAAAAAAGUUGUUAGGUUUGGCUGAUAUUAGUAGUCAGGUUGGAGUUUCAGCAAAAACGCUAUUUAUUCUAGAACACGAUUUUUACAAAAAUUCUGUUUUGAAUAAAAUAUUCUAAAAAUAUAAUAAGGCAACUUAACGUGAUCUUGUACAAAUAAUUGCCAUCGCCUUGCUACACUAAUAGCUGAUUAUACGGUUUCGGAUGCUGAAAUGACUAUCAAACUUCAGCAGCUUACUAUCUUUUUUAUAGGGAAAGUGUCUUGGAGCUUUUUAUCAAAACUCCUGUAUAUAUAUAAAGAUAUUUUGAUUUGUUUGAAUAGUUUUUAAAGUAGCCAUUUUUAUUUUUUGCAAGAAAUAUUGUUAUGAGAAAAACAAAAGAACACAAUAAAAUUUACUAAAGUUUUUUUAACAAGAUGUAAAGCAAGACUUUUAAAAGCAAUUAAAGUUAAGAGUAGCACUGCAAGCAGUUUAAAUGAAUUAGGUCGACAAGAUAUUAUUAAGUUUGGAUCAAAAUACAGAUCUAGCCCAGACACUGUU